CCCGUUCCUGACCAGGGUACACAGAUCCCCCUACAGAGGAGCCCGGACAUCGGGAUAUAAUUCCUGUGGGCUAACCAGAUAAAAGUAUAUGCUGUGCAAGCCUGAACACCUGAGUUUGAUCUCUGGAACCCACGGAAUUUGACUUCUGACUUCCACACAUACACCAUGACAGCUGUAGAUGCUCUGGCGAAUUCUUUCUGGUACCCGAGUAAUGUGGAACACGUGAUGAAGUAUGAGGAAAACAGGACUCUUAUGCUUUGCAUGUUGAUGUGGGGAGAUUUUGCUGAUCCCAAAACCCCAAGAUAGUCAGCAACGUUCAGCCAUACUCCAAUAAGGUUAGCGCCAGC